rnacentral:rRNA from 1 species
AUUGAACGCUGGCGGCAGGCCUAACACAUGCAAGUCGAGCGGAUGAAGGGAGCUUGCUCCUGUAUUCAGCGGCGGACGGGUGAGUAAUGCCUAGGAAUCUGCCUGGUCGUGGGGGAUAACGUCCGUAAACGGGCGCUAAUACCGCAUACGUCCUGAGGUAGAACGUGGGGGAUCUUCGGACCUCACGCUAUCAGAUGAGCCUAGGUCGGAUUAGCUAGUUGGUGGGGUAAAGGCCUACCAAGGCGACGAUCCGUAACUGGUCUGAGAGGAUGAUCAGUCACACUGGAACUGAGACACGGUCCAGACUCCUACGGGAGGCAGCAGUGGGGAAUAUUGGACAAUGGGCGAAAGCCUGAUCCAGCCAUGCCGCGUGUGUGAAGAAGGUCUUCGGAUUGUAAAGCACUUUAAGUUGGGAGGAAGGGCAGUAAGUUAAUACCUUGCUGUUUUGACGUUACCAACAGAAUAAGCACCGGCUAACUUCGUG